CCUACGGGCGGCAGCAGUGGGGAAUCUUGCACAAUGGGGGAAACCCUGAUGCAGCGACGCUGCGUGAGUGAAGAAGUAUUUCGGUAUGUAAAGCUCUAUCAGCAGGGAAGAAAAUGACGGUACCUGACUAAGAAGCCCCGGCUAACUACGUGCCAGCAGCCGCGGUAAUACGUAGGGGGCAAGCGUUAUCCGGAUUUACUGGGGGUAAAGGGAGCGUAGACGGCAGCACAAGUCUGAAGUGAAAUGCCGGGGCUUAACCCCGGAACUGCUUUGGAAACUGUGCAGCUAGAGUGCAGGAGAGGUGAGUGGAAUUCCUAGUGUAGCGGUGAAAUGCGUAGAUAUUAGGAGGAACACCAGUGGCGAAGGCGGCUUACUGGACUGUAACUGACGUUGAGGCUCGAAAGCGUGGGGAGCAAACAGGAUUAGAUACCCCUGUAGUC
rnacentral:rRNA from 1 species